GCCCCCGUGGCCCAAAUGGAUAGAGGCAAGCGACUUAAAAUCGCUGAGAUCAGGGUUCGAGUCCCUGCGGGGGCA
rnacentral:tRNA from 1 species